rnacentral:rRNA from 1 species
AGCGAACGCUGGCGGCAGGCCUAACACAUGCAAGUCGAACGGAUCCUUCGGGAUCAGUGGCGGACGGGUGAGUAACACGUGGGAACGUGCCCUUUGGUUCGGAACAACUCAGGGAAACUUGAGCUAAUACCGGAUGUGCCCUUCGGGGGAAAGAUUUAUCGCCAUUGGAGCGGCCCGCGUCUGAUUAGCUAGUUGGUGGGGUAAAGGCCCACCAAGGCGACGAUCAGUAGCUGGUCUGAGAGGAUGAUAGCCACAUUGGGACUGAGACACGGCCCAAACUCCUACGGGAGGCAGCAGUGGGGAAUCUUGCGCAAUGGGCGAAAGCCUGACGCAGCCAUGCCGCGUGAAUGAUGAAGGUCUUAGGAUUGUAAAAUUCUUUCACCGGGGACGAUAAUGACGGUACCCGGAGAAGAAGCCCCGGCUAACUUCGUGCCAGCCGCCGCCGUAACAC